AUUGAACGCUGGCGGCAUGCCUUACACAUGCAAGUCGAACGGUAACAGGUCUUCGGAUGCUGACGAGUGGCGAACGGGUGAGUAAUACAUCGGAACGUGCCCGAUCGUGGGGGAUAGCUCGGCGAAAGCCGGAUUAAUACCGCAUACGAUCUACGGAUGAAAGCAGGGGACCGCAAGGCCUUGCGCGAACGGAGCGGCCGAUGGCAGAUUAGGUAGUUGGUGGGGUAAAGGCUCACCAAGCCGACGAUCUGUAGCUGGUCUGAGAGGACGACCAGCCACACUGGGACUGAGACACGGCCCAGACUCCUACGGGAGGCAGCAGUGGGGAACUUUUGGACAUGGGCGCAAGCCUGAUCCAGCAAUGCCGCGUGCAGGAUGAAGGCCUCGGGUUGUAAACUGCUUUUUGUACGGAACGAAAAGGCUCUGGUUAAUACCUGGGGCUCAUGACGGUACCGUAAGAAUAAGCACCGGCUAACUACGUGCCAGCAGCCGCGGUAAUACGUAGGGUGCGAGCGUUAAUCGGAAUUACUGGGCAUAAACGCGUGCGCAGGCGGUGAUGUAA
rnacentral:rRNA from 1 species